GACGAACGCUGGCGGCGUGCCUAAUACAUGCAAGUAGAACGCUGAAGGAGGAGCUUGCUCUUCUGGAUGAGUUGCGAACGGGUGAGUAACGCGUAGGUAACCUGCCUGGUAGCGGGGGAUAACUAUUGGAAACGAUAGCUAAUACCGCAUAAAAUUGAUUAUUGCAUGAUAGUCAAUUAAAAGGUGCAAUUGCAUCACUACCAGAUGGACCUGCGUUGUAUUAGCUAGUUGGUGAGGUAACGGCUCACCAAGGCAACGAUACAUAGCCGACCUGAGAGGGUGAUCGGCCACACUGGGACUGAGACACGGCCCAGACUCCUACGGGAGGCAGCAGUAGGGAAUCUUCGGCAAUGGACGGAAGUCUGACCGAGCAACGCCGCGUGAGGGAAGAAGGUUUUCGGAUCGUAAAGCUCUGUUGUAAGAGAAGAACGAGUGUGAGAGUGGAAAGUUCACACUGUGACGGUAUCUUACCAGAAAGGGACGGCUAACUACGUG
rnacentral:rRNA from 1 species